rnacentral:rRNA from 1 species
AUACGGAGGGGGCUAGCGUUGUUCGGAAUUACUGGGCGUAAAGCGCGCGUAGGCGGAUUGAUCAGUCAGGGGUGAAAUCCCGGAGCUUAACUCCGGAACUGCCUUUGAUACUGUCAAUCUUGAGUUCGAGAGAGGUGAGCGGAAUUCCUAGUGUAGAGGUGAAAUUCGUAGAUAUUAGGAAGAACACCAGUGGCGAAGGCGGCUCACUGGCUCGAUACUGACGCUGAGGUGCGAAAGCGUGGGGAGCAAACAGGAUUAGAAACCCCAGUAGUCC